rnacentral:tRNA from 1 species
GUCCGUGUGGUGUAACGGCUAGCAUAACUGCCCUCCAAGCAGUUGAUACGGGUUCGAUCCCCGUUACGGGCU